GAGUGAUUGGCAGAGCGGCUGAUGCAUCCGGCUUUUAACCGGAAUUAGGUAGGUUCAACUCCUACAUCACUCCCCA
rnacentral:tRNA from 2 species